UACAGAGGUGCCAAGCGUUAGGCGGAAUCACUGGGCUUAAAGCGCGUGUAGGUGGAUGGGUAAGUACCUUGUGAAAUCCCACGGCUCAACCGUGGAACUGCUUGGUAUACUGCUUGUCUUGAGGCACUCAGGGGCAGCUGGAACAAAUGGUGGAGCGGUGAAAUGCGUAGAUAUCAUUUGGAACGCCAAAGGCGAAAGCAGGCUGCUGGGAGUGAUCUGACACUGAGACGCGAAAGCCAGGGGAGCAAACGGG
rnacentral:rRNA from 1 species